rnacentral:rRNA from 1 species
UGGGGAAUAUUGCACAAUGGGCGAAAGCCUGAUGCAGCAACGCCGCGUGAGUGAUGACGGUCUUCGGAUUGUAAAGCUCUGUCUUUGGGGACGAUGAUGACGGUACCCAAGGAGGAAGCCACGGCUAACUACGUGCCAGCAGCCGCGGUAAUACGUAGGUGGCAAGCGUUGUCCGGAUUUACUGGGCGUAAAGGGUGCGUAGGCGGACCUUUAAGUGAGAUGUGAAAUCCCCGAGCUUAACUUGGGGGCUGCAUUUCAAACUGGAGGUCUAGGGUGCAGGAGAGGAGAGUGGAAUUCCUAGUGUAGCGGUGAAAUGCGUAGAGAUUAGGAAGAGCACCAGUGGCGAAGGCGACUCUCUGGACUGUAACUGACGCUGAGGCACGAAAGCGUGGGG